rnacentral:rRNA from 1 species
GACGAACGCUGGCGGCGUGCUUAACACAUGCAAGUCGAACGGAAAGGCCCCAGCUUGCUGGAGUCCUCGAGUGGCGAACGGGUGAGUAACACGUGGGUAAUCUGCCCUGCACCCUGGGAUAAGCCUGUGAAACUGGGUCUAAUACUGGAUAUGACCUUUCUCCUUAUGGUGUGCGGUGGAAAGUUUAUCGGUGUAGGAUGAGCCCGCGGCCUAUCAGCUUGUUGGCGGGGUGAUGGCAUACCAAGGCGACGACGGGUAGCCGACCUGAGAGGGCGCUCGGCCACAUUGGGACUGGAAUACGGCCCAGACUCCUACGGGAGGCAACGGUGGGGAAUAUUGCACUAUGGGCGGAAGCCUAGUGCAGCGACGCCACGUGGGGGAUGACAGCCUUCGGGUUGUAAACCUCUUUCAGCAGGGACGAAGCGUAAGUGACGGUACCUGCAGAAGAAGCACCGGCUAACUAUGUG